rnacentral:rRNA from 1 species
CUGAUGCAGCCAUGCUGCGUGUGUGAAGAAGGCCUUCGGGUUGUAAAGCACUUUCAGUUGUGAGGAAAGUUUAGUAGUUAAUACCUGCUAGAUGUGACGUUAGCAACAGAAGAAGCACCGGCUAACUCCGUGCCAGCAGCCGCGGUAAUACGGAGGGUGCGAGCGUUAAUCGGAAUUACUGGGCGUAAAGCGCACGCAGGCGGUCUGUUAAGCUAGAUGUGAAAGCCCCGCGCUCAACGUGGGAGGGUCAUUUAGAACUGGCAGACUAGAGUCUUGGAGAGGGGAGUGGAAUUCCAGGUGUAGCGGUGAAAUGCGUAGAGAUCUGGAGGAACAUCAAUGGCGAAGGCAACUCCCUGGCCAAAGACUGACGCUCAUGUGCGAAAGUGUGGGUAGCGAACAGGAUUAGAUACCCUGGUAGUCCACACCGUAAACGCUGUCUACUAGCUGUUUGUGAAUUUAAUUCGUGAGUAGCG